rnacentral:rRNA from 1 species
AACGAACGCUGGCGGCAGGCUUAACACAUGCAAGUCGAACGCCCCGCAAGGGGAGUGGCAGACGGGUGAGUAACGCGUGGGAACGUGCCCUUCGCUUCGGAAUAGCCCCGGGAAACUGGGAGUAAUACCGAAUACGCCGUAUUGGGAAAGAUUUAUCGGCGAAGGAUCGGCCCGCGUUAGAUUAGCUAGUUGGCGGUGUAAUGGACCACCAAGGCUACGAUCUAUAGCUGGUCUGAGAGGAUGAUCAGCCACACUGGGACUGAGACCCGGCCCAGACUCCUGCGGGAGGCAGCAGUGGGGAAUCUUGGACAAUGGGCGCAAGCCUGAUCCAGCCAUGCCGCGUGAGUGAAGAAGGCCUUAGGGUUGUAAAACUCUUUCGCCGGAGAAGAUAAUGACGGUAUCCGGAGAAGAAGCCCCGGCUAACUUCGUGCCAGCAGCCGCAGUAAUAC